rnacentral:rRNA from 1 species
AGAGUUUGAUCCUGGCUCAGGACGAACGCUGGCGGCGUGCUUAACACAUGCAAGUCGAACGAAAAUACCAAGCUUGCUUGGUUGAUUAGUGGCGAACGGGUGAGUAACACGUGAGUAACCUGCCCCUUACUUUCCUGGAUAACUGCUCGAAAGGGUAGCUAAUACGGGAUAUUCUGACCAGCCUGCAUGGGUUGGUUUGGAAAGGUUGUUUUUCUGGUAAGGGAUGGGCUCGCGGCCUAUCAGCUUGUUGGUGGGGUGAUGGCCUACCAAGGCUUUGACGGGUAGCCGGCCUGAGAGGGUGACCGGUCACAUUGGGACUGAGAUACGGCCCAGACUCCUACGGGAGGCAGCAGUGGGGAAUAUUGCACAAUGGGCGCAAGCCUGAUGCAGCGACGCCGCGUGAGGGAUGACGGCCUUCGGGUUGUAAACCUCUGUUAGCAGGGAAGAAGAGAGAUUGACGGUACCUGCAGAGAAAGCGCCGGCUAACUACGUGCCAGCAGCCGCGGUAAUACGUAGGGCGCGAGCGUUGUCCGGAAUUAUUGGGCGUAAAGGGCUUGUAGGCGGUUGGUCGCGUCUGCCGUGAAAUCCUCUGGCUUAACUGGGGGCGUGCGGUGGGUACGGGCUGACUUGAGUGCGGUAGGGGAGACUGGAACUCCUGGUGUAGCGGUGGAAUGCGCAGAUAUCAGGAAGAACACCGGUGGCGAAGGCGGGUCUCUGGGCCGUUACUGACGCUGAGGAGCGAAAGCGUGGGGAGCGAACAGGAUUAGAUACCCUGGUAGUCCACGCUGUAAACGUUGGGCACUAGGUGUGAGGCUCCUUUCCGGGGGUUUUGCGCCGUAGCUAACGCAUUAAGUGCCCCGCCUGGGGAGUACGGCCGCAAGGCUA